CUCUGGUAGGAUCCCUGCCUAUUUCUGAGCUAAUGCUUUGCUGAGCUUGGCUUGCUGUAGGUUAGGAGUGCAUUCAGCUCUUUGAGGGACCUGAGAACGCAGUUGGUGAUAAACCCUAAGCAGGGAGGUGGAGCGUGGUUGCCAGUUAACGAGUGCUGGACAGCAGAAAGGGAAACUGUCCACUUCUCUGGUCAACUCCAGUCUCCCAUUCCACACCUUCAAAGUGUUUGGAAGAGCACCCUCUUCCUCUGCUGCUUCCAGGUGGAGACCCGAAUCCUGUACCCCAGCCUCCUGGACAGGCUGGCACCGUUCUGCAGAGCCCAGCAUGUCCUGUCUGCGCAUGCCCUUGCUCCUGCCACCCUGCUGUCUAAACAAGAGUAGGAGCUCAGGAGCAGGAGAACCCAGCACUCUGAGAAGGGGCAAGUUCUGAAAUACAACUCUGGGCCCUCAGUAUCGAUGGCACUUUCAGCGGGACAGGCUGCGAUGGCAGACACGUGGCUCUCUCCACGACAGCAGUUACUAAGUCAGGACACGGCAGAGCUCAGAGAACCAGCGGAAGAGGAGGCGGAAGGAGUUGGAGAGACAGAAAGGGUGGAGGACACCAGGAGAAGAAGGCUCGUGUGAACUCAGAGGCUGGAGCAGCAAACACCGGGCCUGCACGGGACACUGAACAGAAGCAGCCUCUUUUGGACUAGUUAAUUUUCUGGCUAUCGUGGACCUGACCAACGUAGGGCCUGCACACUACACAUGACCAACCAGACUGAGUCUCACUGUAGACCGUGGGAUGGCCUUGAACUUGGGAUCUUCCUUCCUCAACUUUCACAGUCCCAGAAUUAUGGAUAUAUGAUACCACUCACGGCCCAAGCCAAAUGUCGUUGACAGGUGUCAGGUGACCAGCCAUCCAUGGCAUCCCCAACCCACCCAGAAAAGAGGUCACAGUGGAGUUGAAGUCAUUGCCAGAUUUUCUCCUGUAGAGUGCAUCUUGGCAUAGUUUAGGCAUAAGAUCAAUACCGAAUAAUAUUAUGAAUAAAUGAAUGAGAAAAAUAACAGA